rnacentral:rRNA from 1 species
UACGUAGGGUGCGAGCGUUGUCCGGAAUUAUUGGGCGUAAAGGGCUCGUAGGCGGUCUGUUGCGUCGGGAGUGAAAACUCAGGGCUUAACCCUGAGCCUGCUUCCGAUACGGGCAGACUAGAGGUAUGCAGGGGAGAACGGAAUUCCUGGUGUAGCGGUGAAAUGCGCAGAUAUCAGGAGGAACACCGGUGGCGAAGGCGGAUCUCUGGGCCGUAACUGACGCUGAGGAGCGAAAGCAUGGGGAGCGAACAGG